GGCGAGUGGCGGACGGGUGAGGAAUACAUCGGAAUCUACUCUGUCGUGGGGGAUAACGUAGGGAAACUUACGCUAAUACCGCAUACGACCUACGGGUGAAAGCAGGGGAUCUUCGGACCUUGCGCGAUUGAAUGAGCCGAUGUCGGAUUAGCUAGUUGGCGGGGUAAAGGCCCAGCAAGGCGACCAUCCGUAGCUGGUCUGAGAGGAUGAUCAGCCACACUGGAACUGAGACACGGUCCAGACUCCUAGGGGAGGCAGCAGUGGGGAAUAUGGGACAAUGGGCACAAGCCUGAUSCAGCCAUACCGCGUGGGUGAAGAAGGCCUUCGGGUUGUAAAGCCCUUGCGGGGGGAAAGAAAUCCCAGCCGGCUAAUACCUGGUCGGGAUGACGGUACCCAAAGAAUAAGCACCGGCUAACUUCGUGCCAGCAGCCGCGGUAAUACGAAGGGUGCAACCGUUACUCGGAAUUACUGGGCGUAAAGCGUGCGUAGCUGGUCGUUCAAGUCCGCUGUGAAAGACCCUGGGCUCAACCAUGGGAACUGCAACUGGAUACUGGAAGA
rnacentral:rRNA from 1 species